rnacentral:piRNA from 1 species
UGGGAGAACUAAAAAAGAAA